rnacentral:rRNA from 1 species
UACGAAGGGGGCUAGCGUUGCUCGGAAUCACUGGGCGUAAAGGGUGCGUAGGCGGGUCUUUAAGUCAGGGGUGAAAUCCUGGAGCUCAACUCCAGAACUGCCUUUGAUACUGAAGAUCUUGAGUUCGGGAGAGGUGAGUGGAACUGCGAGUGUAGAGGUGAAAUUCGUAGAUAUUCGCAAGAACACCAGUGGCGAAGACGGCUCACUGGCCCGAUACUGACGCUGAGGCACGAAAGCGUGGGGAGCAAACAGG